UUCUCGCGGAACAGUCUAUCAGAAGCUACAGGGGGGCCUGAGUGCCCCCUCUCCGAGGAGGAAGUGGGAUGCUCCGCCGUUCCCAUGGCAGCAACAUCAUCGUCACAACAACAACACGCACUUGCAGCUGCAGACACAACAGCUGUGUCCACAGCGAGUCCACUGCCAGAGAAGAGCACGAAGACUCCCAACCAGGCCAAACAAGACAAGUAGAACCGUAGGACCGUCUCCACAGCAACCUGGCAUGCAUCCUAAGUGGCACCCUAUUCCCUAGCUAUGAAGUGUACUCCUUUUGAUCAGAGUAGUGCACUAUAUAGGGAAUAGGGUGCCACCUGGAAUGCAAAUCUGACGUUCAAUAAGUAACUUAGACAGACAGACAGAUGACAGACAAUGACUGACCAUCAUUUUGACAGACUUAUGGCUGAAUUCAAUCUGUAUCACAGAGGUAUCACAGAAGAUUCGCAUUAAAAUGCAAAUUCAUUGGUGUGAAAUACUACUUAAGAGUUUUUGGGGUACUGUACUUUACUAUAUAUAUUUUUGACAACUUUUACUUUUACUCCACUACAUUCCUGAAGAAAAUCAUGUACUUUUUACUCCAUACCUUUCCCCUGACACCUAGAAGUACUCGUUACGUUUUGAAUGCUUAGCAGGAAAAUGGUACGAUUUACACACUUAUCAAGAAAACAUCCCUGGUCAUCCCUACUGCCUCUGAUCUGGAGGACUCUCUACACAGAGAACAUCCCUGGUCAUCCCUACUGCCUCUGCUCUGGCGGACUCACUAAACACAAAUGCUUUGUUUGUAAAUUAUGUUCGAGUGUUGGAGUGUGCCCCUGGCUAUCUGUAAAAAUAUAUAUAUUAUUGUGCUGUCUGGUUAGCUUAAUAUAAGUAAUGUGAAAUAAUUUAUAUAUAUAUUAGCAAUUACAUUUACUUUUGAUACUUAAGUAUAUUUAAAACCAAAUACUUUUAGACUUUUACUUGAGUAGUAUUUUACUGGGUGACUUUCACUUUUACUUGAGUCAUUUUCUAUUAAGGUAUCUUUACUUCUACUCAAGUAUGACCAUUGGGUACUUUGUUCACCACUGUGUAAAGGUAAUUUCUGAUUGAGCCAACAUGUGCAGCUUUUGAAUGCAGUCUCUGCGACAGCGAGAACAUUGCCUUUAAUUGUCAAUGGUUGUCACGCCUGCUCCCGCUCUCUGGCGCUCGACGGUGCCAGGCUACCCAUUAUUACGCACACCUGUCACCAUCAUUACGCGCAUCAGCGCUCAUUGGACUCACCUGGACUCCAUCACUCUGUUGAUUGCCCCUCUGCAUCUGUCUGUUCCUUAGUUUGUUCCCCAUGUCAGCAUUAUUAAUGUCAUUCUUUUUCCCUUCCAGACGAUGUCCUUGUUCUGUUUCAUGUCCGUUGUUUAUUAAAUGUUCACUUCCUGUA